rnacentral:rRNA from 1 species
GUGCCAGCCGCCGCGGUAAUACGAAGGGGGCUAGCGUUGCUCGGAAUUACUGGGCGUAAAGGGAGCGUAGGCGGACAUUUAAGUCAGGGGUGAAAUCCCGGGGCUCAACCUCGGAACUGCCUUUGAUACUGGGUGUCUUGAGUGUGAUAGAGGUAUGUGGAACUCCGAGUGUAGAGGUGAAAUUCGUAGAUAUUCGGAAGAACACCAGUGGCGAAGGCGACAUACUGGAUCAUUACUGACGCUGAGGCUCGAAAGCGUGGGGAGCAAACAGGAUUAGAAACCCCCGUAGUCC